CUUGUACUCAGUUAAGCAUCCAUCAAAAGGAACUGAAAAAGAAUCUGGAAGUGAUAAUGAAUGCGUAAAAGAAACAAACAUGCUCCUUCGUGAAGUUCAUCGGGCAAUCUUCGAUGAGCAAGUAUUUGAUAUGGUGAACCGUGAAGCCUUCAACCAAUCUUUAGGAGUCAAUGUGACUGGAAUUCAAGAAAAUUAUCUACAACUAAGCAUAAGUCCAGGAACUUCUGUGUUCAUAUCCCUUGA
rnacentral:misc_RNA from 1 species